rnacentral:tRNA from 2 species
GGUCCGUUAGCUCAGCCAGCAAGAGCACCCGCCUGUCGAGCGGAAGGUCGCGGGAGCGUAGCCCGCACGGACCGCCA